rnacentral:rRNA from 1 species
GGUUAAGCGACUAAGCGUACACGGUGGAUGCCCUGGCAGUCAGAGGCGAUGAAGGACGUGCUAAUCUGCGAUAAGCGUCGGUAAGGUGAUAUGAACCGUUAUAACCGGCGAUUUCCGAAUGGGGAAACCCAGUGUGUUUCGACACACUAUCAUUAACUGAAUCCAUAGGUUAAUGAGGCGAACCGGGGGAACUGAAACAUCUAAGUACCCCGAGGAAAAGAAAUCAACCGAGAUUCCCCCAGUAGCGGCGAGCGAACGGGGAGCAGCCCAGAGCCUGAAUCAGUGUGUGUGUUAGUGGAAGCGUCUGGAAAGGCGCGCGAUACAGGGUGACAGCCCCGUACACAAAAAUGCACAUGCUGUGAGCUCGAUGAGUAGGGCGGGACACGUGGUAUCCUGUCUGAAUAUGGGGGGACCAUCCUCCAAGGCUAAAUACUCCUGACUGACCGAUAGUGAACCAGUACCGUGAGGGAAAGGCGAAAAGAACCCCGGCGAGGGGAGUGAAAAAGAACCUGAAACCGUGUACGUACAAGCAGUGGGAGCACGCUUAGGCGUGUGACUGCGUACCUUUUGUAUAAUGGGUCAGCGACUUAUAUUCUGUAGCAAGGUUAACCGAAUAGGGGAGCCGAAGGGAAACCGAGUCUUAACUGGGCGUUAAGUUGCAGGGUAUAGACCCGAAACCCGGUGAUCUAGCCAUGGGCAGGUUGAAGGUUGGGUAACACUAACUGGAGGACCGAACCGACUAAUGUUGAAAAAUUAGCGGAUGACUUGUGGCUGGGGGUGAAAGGCCAAUCAAACCGGGAGAUAGCUGGUUCUCCCCGAAAGCUAUUUAGGUAGCGCCUCGUGAAUUCAUCUCUGGGGGUAGAGCACUGUUUCGGCAAGGGGGUCAUCCCGACUUACCAACCCGAUGCAAACUGCGAAUACCGGAGAAUGUUAUCACGGGAGACACACGGCGGGUGCUAACGUCCGUCGUGAAGAGGGAAACAACCCAGACCGCCAGCUAAGGUCCCAAAGUCAUGGUUAAGUGGGAAACGAUGUGGGAAGGCCCAGACAGCCAGGAUGUUGGCUUAGAAGCAGCCAUCAUUUAAAGAAAGCGUAAUAGCUCACUGGUCGAGUCGGCCUGCGCGGAAGAUGUAACGGGGCUAAACCAUGCACCGAAGCUGCGGCAGCGACGCUUAUGCGUUGUUGGGUAGGGGAGCGUUCUGUAAGCCUG